GUGAGAUCCAUCCCCUGCCUGCAAAACAUUUCUCCUAACUCCACCACCUAUUCCAAAACCUAUAAGAACUAAUGAUAAUCCCGCCACCCUUUGCUGACUCUCUUUUCGGACUCAGCCCACCUGCACCCAGGUGAAAUAAACAGCCUUGUUGCUCACACAAAGCCUGUUUCGUGGUCUUUUCACACGGACGCGUGAGACAUUUGGUGCCAAAGACCCAGGUCAGAGGGACUCCUUUGGGAGACCAGUCCCCUGUCCUCACCCUCACUCCGUGAAGAGCUCCAUCUAUGACCUCGGGUCCUCAGACCAACCAGCCCAAAGAAUACCUCAGCAAUUUCAAAUAGGACUUUGUUGCCCCCACGACCUAGUGUUGGGUCUGAUCACCCCAACAUUCCUGGCUUCCCAACGUGGGGUGACGAAGGCCCCAGUGAAGAAAGGCUAGAGCAUGUGAAAGUGGAGGACACAUCAUCAAAGGACACCUGAAGACGUCUAAAAGAAGCUCAGCAGGAAAGCUGAGCACUUGGAAGAACCAGGAAGAUCAACCCAUGACUGCAGCUGAACAACACCUGACAGGAUAAAAGGAAAAUAAAAAGGCUGGACAAGAUAUAUGGUGGAGGGAUGCACAUACAAAGAGCUGGGAAAAAGGAAUGAUAAUUUUAUGGGGAAGAGGAUUUGCUUGUGUCUCUCCACGUGACAAUCAGGUGCCUGUGUGGGUGCCCACCAAACAUCUGAAGAUCUAUCAUGAACCACAGCAUCUAGUGGACACACCUAUACAGUGCAAAUGGAAGGUUUAAGGAUUGCUUUUAAGCCUCAAUUUGCUUUCUCUGUGCCUUCUGUUAGAAGAGUCCUGCUUCUCAUUAUCAAUGGUAAGUUUUGCCCUGCAGUAAUUAACCAAAGAGGCAGAAGCUGAGUUACAAAUGCUUCAGCAAUGGCACGCCUCCUGGGUACAGCCACAAAAGUUUUUGCUUCUGUUUCAGUAGAUUUACUAACGUGGGGGUGAGGGUAUGCUUGUGUUUUGCAGGUGAUGAACAAACCAUGUAGGUGCCCUCAAGAUGUGUACGACCAUGAAACAGGAGACUGGAAGGGCCCAUGGAUCCCAACCAUGGACCUGGUUCCCCCAGUAUGAGCCAUGCUGAGAAACUGCUGGAGCACCAGGGUUUUACCUAUUGAUGCUUAACGGACCAAUGCUUUCUGACUGAACGCCUCUCUACCCUGAAUUUACAAGAGACCCUAAUAGACUUUGUUGCCUCAACGACCUGGUGCUGGGUUUGAUCACCCCAACACUGAAUGACCAGGAUGACUCCUUCACUCUUAUAUCUGGUGAACAUGCUGGUGUGGAUGGAACAGUAAGAGCAUGGAAGGAGCUCUCUCUCCUUGCAGCCUCUUAGGUGGCUGGCCUGGGCUUCCUCACAACAUAGUGGUCACAGGUUCUGCUCACUGAUAAAACUACUGACGUCAGCUGUUCUGAAGGACCCAGCAAGGAGCUGACUCAUGGAAGAUUGCAGUUUCUACCUAAUGAUCUCAUCCUCCUUACCCUGACCAAUCAAUGACCCCAAUUUUCCAGCCCCUCAUCAUCCAUGAUCCACUUAAAAACCUUUCCCCAGAACUCCUUGGAGAGAUGGAUUUGAGACUUGAGGAUUCCAUCUUUCUCCUCACUCAGUGGCCUUGGGAUUACUAAGCUCCUUCUCUGCUGCAAACCCCACUGUCUCAGUGUAUUGGUUUAUUGCUAUACACAGGCAAACAAAUCUGCCAAUCCUAUAAGACUUAGGAGUCUCCAAAAGUCUCUUAGACUCAGAUUUGGGAUUUUACCUGGGUGGAGGUAGAUCUCUUUGUCUCUCUUACUGAUACUCUGUGAAUAAUUAAAAGUGGGAGAGGGUGUGAAUUUUAAAAUCUUUGAAAACAACCCUACCUUUGCAUGAUUGUGUUUCUCUAAAUAGACUUAUGGGGUG
rnacentral:lncRNA from 1 species